rnacentral:lncRNA from 1 species
CUGGAAACUGCACAUAAAAAUAACUGUUUUCUUGUCUUUUCUAGCUUCUGGUGGCCACCUGCAUGCCUUUGCUUAUGGUCCCCUUUGUCCAUCUCAAAGCCAGCAGUUUUGCAUCGCUCUGACCAUUCUUUCAUAGUUACAUUUCACAGUGAUCCUCAGCCAGGAAAGGUUAUCUGGUUUUAAGGAGCUAUAUGAUUGGAUUGGGCUCAUGUGAAUAAUCUAGGAUAAUUGCCCUAUAUCAAAACCCUUAACCUUAAUCACAUUUGUAAAGUUUCUUUAGCCACGUAAAAUAACAUAGACACAGGUUCUGGGCUUAGGGCAUGAACAUCUUCAAGAGUCCCAUCAUUAUUCUGCCUCCUGUACCUGUGAAUUACUUAGAAGUAUGUCAUAAAUAGCAUAAGCAUAUUGUUUAAUUUUCUGGCAGUUGGAGUUCUUUAGUUUUUUAUUUUUUAGAGACAGGGUCUUGCCUUGUUGCUCAGGCUGGAGUACAGUGGCACAAUCAUAGCUCACUGCAGCAUCAAACUCCUGAACUCAAGUGAUCCUCCCACCUUAGCCUUCAGAGUAGCUGGGAUUAUAGCUGUGAAAAAAUUCAUAGAAAUGGGAAUCUUACUAUGUUGCCUAGGCUGGUCUUGAACUCCCGUCCUCAAGAAGUACUCCAGCCCCAGCCUCCCACAGUGCUGGGAUUAUAGGUGUGAGCCACUGCACCUGGCCCCCUUUCUUGACCUUGUGAUCUGCCCACGUCGGCCUCCCAAAGUGCUGGGAUUACAGGUGUGAGCCACUGUGCCCGGCCGUGGGAUUGCAAUUUUUAUUUUUUUUGAGGAACCUCCAAACUGUUGAACUAUGUACAACAUAGUGCUUGUACUAAUUUACGUUCCCACCAACAGUGUACCAGGGUUCCCUUUUCUUCACAUCCUCACCAGUAUUUGUUAUUGCCCGUCUUUUGGAUAUAAGCCAUUUUAACUGGGCGGGGAUAAUAUCUCAUUGUAGUUUUGAUUUGCAUUUCUCUGAUGAUCAGUGAUGUUGAGCACCUUUUCUUAUGUUUGUUUGCCAUGUGUAUGUCUUUUGAGAAAUGUCUGUUCAUAUCUUAUGCCCGUUUUUUGAUUGGAUUAUUAGAUUUUUUCCCUAUAGAGUUGUUUGAGCAUCUUAUAUAUUCUAUUAAUCCCUUGUGAGAUGGGUAGUUUGUAAAUAUUUCCUCCCAUUCUAUGGGCUGUCUCUUCACUUUUUUGAUUGUAUCAUUUGCUGUGCAGAAGCUUUUUAACUUGAUGUGAUGCCAUUUGUCCAUUUUUUGCUUUGAUUGCUGGUGCUUGUGGGGUAUAACUCAAAAAAUCUUUUCCCAAACCAAUAUCCUGGAGAUUUUCCCCAAUGUUUUGUUGUAGUGGUUUUAUAGUUUGAGUUCUUAGACUUUAAGUCUUUAAUCCAUUUUGAUUUGAUUUUUGUGUAUGGCAAGAGAUAGGGGUGUAAUUUCAUUCUUCUGCAUAUGGGUAUUCAGUUUUCCCAGUACCAUUUAUUGAAGAAACUGUCUUUUCUUCAGUGUAUGUUCUUGGCACCUUUGUCGAAAAUGAGUUCACUGUAGGUGUGUGGAUUUCUUUCUGAGUUCUCUAUUCUGUUCCACUCAUCUAUGUGUCUGUUUUGAUGCUGGUAGCUUGCUGUUUUGGUUACAAUGGCUCUGUAGCAUAAUUUGAAGUCAGGUUAUGUGAUUCCUCCAGUUUUCUUCUUUUUGCUUAGGAUCACUUUGGCUAUUCUGGAUCUUUUGUGGUUCCAUAUAAAUUUUAGUGUUGUUUUUCUAUUUCUGUGAAGAACGUCAUUGAUAUUUUGAUCAGGAUUCCAUUGGAUCUGUAGAUUGCUGUGGGUCAUAUGGACAUUUUAACAAUAUUGAUUCUACCAAUCCAUGAACAUGGAAUAUUUUUCCAUAUUUUGAUGUCCU